rnacentral:tRNA from 1 species
GUGGGUACAGCUCAGUGAUAGAGCACUGUGCUUAGCGUGCACAAGGUCCUGGGUUCAAUUCCCAGUACCUCCA